CCGGAGAAGCCAAGAACUUACCUAACCCUUGAGUACCUCCUUCCCGGAUGAAUGAGCAAAUCAAUCACGAGUGGGGAAGGCCUACCGCCAUCAAUAAAAUGUAACACUUUUCUAGAAGCUACGACUACCAAUACCGCUGAUGUGUCAUACUCUACUUCAAACUCUAUCUACUCAAUGAAGCAAGCAAUUUGAUGGACGACACCUUUGUAACAACUCUAACUAAAUUAAGUGAUUUUAAAAGUAAACCAGUGGUUAAUCCCUAAUUAAAGAGGUUAAAUGACCAUUUUAACCCUAAGAAGCUCUUUUUGGAGUUUGAAAUAAAACAUGGAAUUUUAUAUGAAAAUCUAAAAUUCUGCCCAAAUAAGAGUUGUAAAACAUCUAAUUUCAAACAACUUUUGUUAAAGGCACUUUGACUAAUUCGGAGUGGAAGGAAGUCAAAAACAGCAAUCAAAACCGGAGUACUAAGGAACCCUACAAACCUCCUGAGUCCUAGAAUUCAAGUUUUCCUCCAAAUUUGCAAGCCUUUAUCUCACAAUUUCCUAUCUAAACUCAAGUCAGGACCUAAAUAAAACUUCUAGUCCCUCGAGUGUGUUCCAACUUUGUUACACUGAUCCAGGUCCAAAUCGGGCCAGAACCUGUUCAAAACCUUGGUCAAAGUGAGGCAAAACAGUCAACUCACCCCUGAUGCCCCAAAAUGUUAAGUCUGAAAAACUGCGCAAAGUGCACCUCUUGGCGAGGGCGUUCCUCCAAAUUUCUGAACUAAACUCAAGAAAUACCUUAAAUAAAAGUUGAAUUCCUCAUUUUGGAGAGCAACUCCUUCAACAACACUUUGGUCUAAUUCAACAUGGAAGCUACCCAAAAAUCGACUCAAACAUAGCUAAGUUCCUGAAAUUCCACCUCUCCGGCCAAAUUUGGCUAAGUCUAGAUUUCCAGAUUUUUAGCAAACUUUGGCACGAGAUAUCUCCAAAUUCUUUCACAAUCUAAACCGGCACCUUAAACCAAGUUUGAAAUGCGUUCAGAGUUGAACAAGUUUGUUUAAAAGAGUUUUGGAAGUUGUGUUGCAAAAUCUGGAGUAGGAUCUCCCCAAAACUGGUCGAGCUUGCUGCCUGAAGGGGGCCUCGACUUCCGCGCGCUAGAGCACGUUCGCUCGCGCGCCGCGUGCCGCGUGCCGCGUGCCCGCCAGCCACCGGCAGGUCGCCGACGCCCUAUCACCGGCGAGACAACGACAGGGCGAGCGCCACGGCGCCCAACCCGCGCCUGCGACAGGACGGGGCGAACGCCGGGCUGGCCAACCGCCGGCCGCGCGCGUGUCCUUCUCCCCCUGCCGUGGCUAUGCUCCGCCAACCGCACUCCGCCCAUCCGCCGGAGAAGCCGCCACGCCGACGACGUCCCGCGCCUCCGCCCGCUCGCCCAACCCCCACGGUAGCCCUCCGUUUCGCCCGCCCGACAGACGGAAGCCCCAGACGCGUAUCGCCCAAGGCUAAUCACCGCUCGAGACCACCCGGAGCUCCGCCUCCUCUGCCCAAUGGUGCCGCUGGCCAAUGGCCGCCUCGCUCGCGCACCCGCCGCAUCCGGUCUUAUCCUUCCUCCACCGGAGCCCCGCCUCGACCCUCCGCUCCACCGCUGCCCUAUAAAAAGGUUCCCCUCACCGCUAAGCUUCCGUGGAGCUCACCCCUCCACGCCACCCCGCACUCUGGCGACUUCACCGCCCGCUUCGCCACCCCUCCGCGCAUGUCUCCGAGCAGCUCGUGGCCUCCCCGACACCGCCGGUGCGCCGGAACGCCGCCGCAAGCCAAGCUCUGUCGCCGCUGCCGCAUUCCGAUCCCCGCCGGUCAUCUCUGUCGCCUCAACCCCGCCAAACCGAGCGAGCUCAGGUGAGCCCCCGCACCCCUCCGCCCACUUGUUGCCCCAUCCUCGUCGGCGAACCGCCGGGAAUUUCCCCGCCGCUGCCGCGCGCCCCCCGGGGACUACAUUGCAUCAUCCCCGUUCUUUCCAGGGGCCUGGGCACAAAACUCAGGGACCCCUGCGUAGUUAAACCUUAAACCCAGGGGCUUCUUUCAAGUUGCCACGGCUUUUCUUUUAUAUAAUAGGCAGAAAUAUGGUUGAACUUUGGAAAUGCCUAGUAAAUCGUAGAAAAAUCAUAAAAAUGCCAAACCACUUUUGAUGGAAUCCUUGCUUUGUCUAGUUCCUAAGAAAAAUAAGUUUGCUCAUGUUACUGUGGUAAAUAAUAUCCUAUGCUUUUAAUCAUGGUUUAGGCCUUUUAAAUCCUAAUAAAUAGAAGAACAGUGGGAAAAAUAUGAAACCAACUCUGUGAUGCUUGUUUCUCUGUGUAGAAGCUCAGAAAAAUAGUUAGGUCUCUGGUCUAGCACUUUAAGUCACUGUUUUUACUUUAAAUUGGGAAUCUAAGUAUAAAUCUUCCUUUUUGAAUAAGUUUUGAUCCAGAGCUCGAAAAAAUGUGAAACUAGUUGGGUUUAUUUUGCUUUGCUGUGAAGUUUGCAGGAAAAAUAUAAAUUGUUGUGCAAAUAAGAAAGAAAAACACCUUCCUUGCUAAGUAUGUUUAAUUAAAAAGGGAAAUAGAGUAAAUAGUCAACCUUCUCCAAAAAUUAUUAAAAAUUCACCAAAGCUCCUGUAACCUACCCUUAAUACACUGGUUAAGUUUCACCCCCCGUUGCACGGUAACUUUGAAGAUAGAAAAAGUUAAGUUCAUUUUACCUUUAAUAAUAAAAUGCAUGUAACUUCUUUUUAAGUCAUCCUUUGGCCCCCAAACUUUUACAGUAACCUAGUGAUGGCUUAAGUGAGGUGCUGUAAUUUUAUCAAUGCCUUUAACUACUGUUUGGAUAUGAAGUCAUUUCGGUUAAUUAAUCAACCUAAAGGAAUAAAAGGAAAGCACAAAUUCUAAUUCGAUAAAUAAGUGGAAAUUGAAAGAGGUACAUAAAAACAUUCAGAAGUAAGUAAUUAUUCUAAUGCACCCAAACCACCCAAACACGACCUCUCACUCUCUUUAUGCAACUCUAAAUGCAAGAAAACUAUAUAUGUACACAAUCGCCAUUCAACGCGAACUCAAGUUUAAAACGACCACUUUCGUUUGAAGUUAAAAGAAAGUAAACCUCGCUAAAUUGUGGUGGCUGUUGUGACUCUUUGUCUUAAGCCAUGCCUUGUGUCGUUGAAUAAACGCGCGAGUCCAACUAAACGUUUGCAUGUGCAUGUCGUAUAGAAGCAAAUCUCGCCGACGGAACCUACGAGCUCCACCCGGCACCGGAAGAAGACCCCGCUCUGGAGCUUCACCACUUGGAAGGCGAGCCCGAAUCAGAGCAAGAUCCCGAGGACCCACUAACUUUUCCUGAAGGCAAGCCCCGGUGCAUGAAUUCCCUGUUUUACUUUUAUGCCAAUUACAAUGCAUAUGAUUGUGCAUUUACGUUUGUAGGAGUUGAUUGAAACCGUAGAUGCAUGAACUUAGUACCUUGAUCUGAAUACUAGUUGCUAAGGUCGAGUAGUUGCAAUGCUUAAUAGGUCUCGGUAAAAGUCGAGUGAUUUCCUGUCACUCGCGAGUUAUAGGAAUUGAAUGUUUUAUUUAUGUUGCAACUAUAAGGACGACGGACGGGGUCGGACUUAUGUUCGAUACUUGGUGGUUUGCCCCAUCUGUCUAAAUGAAAUUGGACUAAGGUUGAAACGUGUCGGCGUUCAUGAUCAAGUGUUUGAAAGUACUAAUCUCAUACCUAGUAUGGGAUGGGGAAGCCUGGUACCUGAUUGAACUGGGACGUGGCUUAUACUCCUGCUUAGUCCUUGGAACGUCGUUCCCAUGGUGCAUCAUGUGGGUGCAAUGGCGGUCACAGUACGACAGGGACUGGGACUGUGGAGCAUUGCAUGGUAAAGGCAGUUUGGCCCUGACACGUGCCUAAGGGAUUGAUGGGGACGGCUGACAAAUGAAGCGACCCUCCGUGGUGUGUGGAUGUCGUGAGAUUAGGUUCGCCAUGCAUGGUUAAUAAAUUCGAAUCGAUUCGUCUGCCUCUCACAGUUUGGGACUACUUGAUCGCUAUUCUACACUGAGUAACGAUGAAACAUGAUUACGAGAUGAAGUUGAUGCUUGUUAUUUAACUGCUUGGAAAUCAUGUUUGUUUAGUAUAAGUUGCUAAUCUAGACUGGAUAAAGAACGUAGAACCUGAGCUAAAAUAUUGAAAGUAAGGACUGACAUUAGACGCUUUUUGCAAAGAAAUCCUAGAGCCAGAAAGCCUUGCAUGUCUAGGUCUUGGUCAAGCUUUUCACUCGACGGGUCAGUCUUGCUGAGUAUUAGUUGCUCAGCCUUGUUGUGGCUUAAUCUUUUUAGGUGAUGUCAAUAGUUUGGUUGCUGGUACCACUUGGCCUACCCAGCUCCCUCCGGGUUGGACAGUCUAGUGGGAUCCCUCCUCGGACGGUGAGGGAAGGGACUUUUGAUGUCAUGAUCGGCUUCGUCGUGAUGUCAUGUAUCGACGUUUAGCUUCCGCUUGUUUUAUCCGACUUUUCGAACCCUGCAACUUAUUUGGAUUUCAGAAACUCUGAUGUAAUAAUUUGUGAGACUAAGUUAAUGUGAUGGAAUGUUGUAAUCUUUGUGCUACUCACCUUCGUGUGAGCGAUGCUUCUCGAUCCUGUUGAUAUGGUUUAUCGGAUGAAAUCUGACGGUCGACCAGGUUGGCUUGCUUAAAGUGCAUGAUCGCAUGUCAGACGACUCCAAUGCAUUUUAGUCAGGUUAAUUUGGGCGGUUCCGCCACAGCUGGUAUCAAAGCUCGAAGCACGGUACGGAGAACAACAAACCUUAAAACAUUUUUUCUAACUAAAAUUUGCAAGAAACGAGUCGAGAAAAUUGUAAGUUCGUUAAGGAUGAGUUGAGUACGAGGAGCCCUAGGGGAUUUUUGGGUCUUUUAAGGUGGCUAAUAAUUAUUGGUUAUCUUCUGACUUCCAGCACUUGUUGCCACGUCUAUCAUAUGUGUGCUGAGGUCCGCAUCGCGAGUAUGCGAAGGGUGAUAGGAAUUCGAUUCCAACGAGUCUAUCAUCACGGUUGUUUCGCCCACGUCUAUUAUACGUGCGCAGGUUCCGUAUGUUAAUGCAUGCGAAGGAUGGUAUGGUUCGAUUCCAACGAGCCUACCAUCACGGUUGUUCGCCCACGUCUAUUAUACGUGUGCAUGAUUCCGCAUCACGAGAAUGCGAAGGGUUAUAGGGUUCUAUUCAAAGGAACCUAUUUCCACGGUUGUUGCGCUGUCCAUGCAGCGUUAAACGUAUGGGUGCCGUUUCUAUAUUGAACGGUAAUGAUUGUAAAUGCUUUCGUGAGUGCUGGCACGGAAGGUUCAAGCUGUGAUGUGUUUUUCUGCAGGUACACUAACAACGUUGCGUACGAAACGAUACUAGUAACUCGACUAGUUAUUAUAGUGAGAGUCGUAUUGUUGCCUUGCCACCGGCACUAACCACGUAAGUCCAAAGAUUUUUGGAAAUUAUUUUUGGUUGAGAGGACGACUAGGACGUGCAUGCAUUAAGAAAUAAAAAUCGCAACCUAAGGCAAUAAAACCAAGCUCGAGUGCGUCGUAAAAAGAAAUGCACUGCGAUAAGGAUUGUCUAGUUGUCCUUUUUCCGCCAUGCACGUUUAAAUAAAUCUUUCAGGUUGAUCUGCAUGAUAACUCCAGAAACUUUAUAUAAGAAAUUUGUGUUAAAUCUCCCAAGUAAACUGCUAAAAAAUUUUUUCACAAAGAACUACCACUUGGGUUGAGAGUUGUGACCAGUUUUGUGACCCAUGUUGGCUGUUAGCCCUAAGUGCACACCAGUUGAAAUUCUGCUGUUCGACCACCUUAAGGACUUUUUCUGCUAGGAGUCCCUUAAUCAAAGUUUCUCAGAACUUAAUAAGUAAUUGACUGGUAAAAUUUCAGCUUUAUUAGGUCUCUGGUUUUGAAGUUAUGUUCAGUUUACUUUGACUCGGGUCUGAAAAAUUUCAGCAUGUACACUUAAUGGGAAUCUGAGAUUAUCACCUUGUUAGGUUCUGUUCUAGCCCUACCUUUGAAUACCAAACUUGUUACAUACUAUCUAAAGAACAUGCUGGUAAAAUUUGAGAAAUUUUGGAUGAAUACUUGCUGAGUUAUGAGCUUUUCUCUAACUGCCAGAAAUCUGUUUUGAUUUCCAAGUGUUAACUCCGUUUCUCACUUGUCCCUUGGUUACAGAUGGCUCAGCCCGUGCACGUUGCAGUCGGUACGGAUGGCACCACCUACUCACGGUGCCUUCACUACGAGGGUUUCCCACCCAUACUGUGGGACACCUUGCGUUCUUUUGGGUACCUGUCACUGCCGGUUUACGCGGGAUGUGCGUACCAGGACCGCGGGAUUCCGCGGAGUCGCGUGCACGUAUGGGUGCCCCCGCCUCCAGAUCAGCCACAGUGGCCACUGUUGGAGGUGGUGGCCGAGGGACACACGCUAUAGGACACCUGGGAGUUCGCAGCCUUGCAGACCCUGACACAGUUCUGCCAAGCACACCCUCUUGAGAUCGUGCUGGACCCGAUUGGGUUGUUCCCUGCCCGGGAUACGAGGGACCAGGACUGGUUGGAUCGUAUGGAGCAUAUGGACUUGCUCGGGGUUAUGGAUCCACAACGCACGAUUUUUGUUUCAGCUCGUUGCUUGAACGUGUUCUACAGGAUGGUCGAGAUGCAGAGCCGAGCGAUGGCUACGAUCAGGAUGGCAGUGGCCAACCAGGUCGCUUUAUCUGCCGUGCAGAGUGGCAUGGUGGACCAGUCGCUCGAGCUAGUAUAGAAGGAUGUCCAGAUUGUUGAGAUGCAGGACAAGAUCACUCGUUUGGAGGAGUAGAUCGUGGAUAUGGAGCACGAUAUGGAGAUCUUGGCUAACCAGUUCUAUGAUGUGAACAUGGAGCUGGCGAACGCCAAUGAGCACCUGCAAGAGCAUCACGAUGAGCUUAAUGCUAUUCACGCUUUAGAGAUGCAGCAGGAUGAGCUGAUGGCCCAGGAGGAGGAGCCCGAGGAGAUCGAGGGCUUUUUGAGCAUGGACUAUGAGGAGGCCUCUCCGCAGCCUCCAGUUGGCAAUGCUCACUCUCCGGUCCUUAGCUUUGCCUCCGUGGGCAACCUCGACGACUUCUAGUUGUGUUGACUUGUUGUUGAGCGGUUCUCUUUUGUUUUUGCUCCUUGCCGACCUAUAUUUUGGCCAGUGAUGUAAUAGGUUAGCUUGAGUUGAGUAUUUCGAUGUUGAAAAACUGAUUCUAUGUAGGAUUGCCAUUGCUAUCUUUAGUGUAAUGUCUGAAAUUUAUGGCAGAACUGCAGUGACUGUUUCUCCUCAGUUUUAACCCUGUCUUCACUCAUUUUUGAGCCAAAGUUUGAAUACCAAAGUUGUGCAGAAACUUCUGUUCCAACUACUCGUAAAUUUUCAGCUCCUUAGGAUUUGUCAAAUGCCCGCUAGAGCCAAAACCCCACUGCUCAGCUUGCUGAAAAAUCAGCCGGACAGCAACUUGCUAGAACAUCUAAACGACCCCUUUCCCUUCCUUUUUGGUCAACAAGCGUAACAUGAAAGUGGUGGUGUACGAUAUAUUCUAACCCUCGCUUAAGGAUGAGGACCUUGUGCACUUCGAAGAAGAGAUAUGCACCUACUCAAUAAAAGUUUUGAUUGUUGCUUUUGCACCAUCGGCAAGACUAGCGUUUAUCAUUUCCACACAUAAUGUUUCCUUAUGGUUAAACAAGGUUUUGGGGCUAUGUGACUAAUGGAAAGGUGAAUCUUGUAGAUGGCGCAUUGCACACGCUCCGGCUCCGUUCCCAGUGGCAGCGAGGUGCCUCCCCCACCUCUGCCUCCAACCACCCUCGAGGCGAUCUUGGCGGCUCAAACCGAGCUACUGAGGCACAUCGCUCAGGGGCAGCAGCAGCAGCCCCAGGGAGGAAGGGCCCAUCAGCAGCCUCAUUUUGCUCGCUACGAGGACUUUCUGGGGACCCAGCCUCCUCUGUUCCACAAGACGGAGGACCCGCUUGACGCUGAUGCCUAGAUUCGUUCUAUCGAGUCCAAGUUCUCCCUUCUCACCGCCCAUUGCCCGGAUGAGAAUAAGGUUCGGUUCGCCGCGCAGCAGUUGCAUGGUUCUGCUCUCCUGUGGUGGGAUCACUACCAUGCCAUGCAGCCGGCCGACCACGUCGUCGGCUGGGAGGAAUUCAAGACGGCGUUCAGGGGCCAUCACAUCCCUGAGGGUCUUCUGGAGCGCAAGCUCAAUGAGUUCCUGGCUCUCACCCAGGGAGGCCACGAUGUCCUGCACUAUGUGCAGGCUUUCAAUGACCUGUGUCGCUAUGCAGGCUACCAUGCGGACUCCGAUGAGAAGAAGAGGGACCGCUUCCGCAGAGGCUUGAGCCUGGAGCUCAAGGAAAGGCUGAAUCCCAUCAAGGUGGAUUCCUACAAUGAAAUGGUGAACCUGGCAAUUUCCUAGGAAGAUUGCAUGAGGGCCCUCAAGGCCGACAUGAAGCAGAAGGAUCCAAUGCCGGCACCCGGCCCACCUGCCCAGAAAUACAGAAUGGUUCCCCCACAGGUGCCUCGCAGGCCCGCCCAGCCUGGGAGAUGGGUUGCUCAACCUCCACCGCAGGCAGCACCUCGUUUCCCCGGAUUCCAGCCACAAGGGCCCCGACCUACUCUCCCUAUGCCGCCACGCCCAGUCACUGGAAACCGCUGUUUCACCUGCAGGAACCCAGGACACUUUGCCAAGGACUGCCCCCACAACAAGAAUCAACGACCUGGUCAGAGCAAUGCACUGGGCAACAAGGGGAAGAAGCCGAGGGUUCAGGUCCGACAAGGCAGGCUGAACUUCACCACCCUUGCUGAACUUCCAGAGGGCGCACCAGUGAUGACGGGUAUCUUCUCUGUCCAUAAUCAACCUGUCCUUAUUCUGUUUGAUUCGGGAGCAUCUCAUAGUUUUAUUGGGUCCAAAACCUAUGCUAAGUGUGGCCUAGGGUUCUGUCAUACAAAAGGGGCUUAUAUAAUCACUACACCCGGUGGGAAAGUAUCCUCAUACCAGUUGACCCGCCAGGUACCUAUAACUCUAGGAAAGACCCUUUUUAAGGAAAACCUUCUUAUCCUGGGGAUGGAAGGAAUAGAUAUUAUCUUGGGUAUGGAUUGGAUGACUUGGCAUCGAGUGGCACUAGACAUCCCUGCCAGAGCCAUCCAUAUAAAUUCACCCAUUUAUGGUAGCUCAAUCAUACACUUACCCCACCGAGAGUGCCAAACUUCUUGUGCCUAUCCCGUGACUGAAGCUCGUUUGGAAGACAUCCCAGUGGUGUGCGAGUACCCCGAUGUGUUUCCAGAUGAUUUGCCGAGUAUGCCGCCUGAUAGAGAUAUGGAGUUUGCUAUUGAGUUGCAGCCAGGUACUGCCCCAAUUUCGAAGAGACCGUAUCGGAUGCCACCAGCCGAGCUGACAGAAAUGAAAACUCAGUUGCAUGAUUUGUUGGAAAAGGGUUUUAUUCGUCCAAGCACAUCACCUUGGGGUUGCCCCGCCUUGUUCGUGAAAAAGAAGGACGAUAGUCUACGUAUGUGUGUGGACUACCGACCUCUCAAUGCGGUGAUGAUAAAGAACAAGUACCCACUACCCCGCAUUGAUGUUCUGUUCGAUCAGUUAGCUGGAGCUAGAGUGUUUUCCAAAAUUGACCUCCGUUCUGGCUACCAUCAAAUCAAGAUCCGCUCGUGCGACAUUCCUAAGACUGCCUCCUCUACACGGUAUGGACUCUAUGAGUACUUAGUCAUGUCAUUUGGGCAACGCUUAAGAGAUCACCAACUCUAUGCCAAAUUCUCUAAGUGUGACUUCUGGCUGGACAGUGUUAAAUUCUUGGGGCACACCAUAUCUAGAGAUGGUAUAGCAGUAGACCCAAGCAAAGUGCAAGAAGUAAUGGACUGGAAGCUGUCCACUUCAGUUCAUCAGAUUCGAAGUUUUCUCGGGUUAGUAGGUUACUACCGUCGCUUCAUUCCUGACUUCUCAAAAAUAGCUAAGCCAAUGACGGAACUGCUGAAGAAGGAAAUUAAGUUUGUGUGGAGCGACAAAUGUGAAGAAGCCUUCCACACCCUGAGACAAUUGCUGACCUCUGCGCCGGUUUUAGCUCAACCCGACACCACCAGGCCGUUUGACGUAUAUUGCGAUGCCUCUGGCACUGGACUUGGUUGUGUUCUUAUGCAAGACAGCCGAGCCAUUGCCUAUGCCUCGCGAGCGCUACGGCCACAUGAGUUGAAUUACCCUACCCAUGAUCUCGAGUUAGCAGCAGUCGUUCAUGCUCUGAAAAAAUGGAGGCAUUAUCUUAUGGGAACUCGAUGCAACAUCUAUACAGAUCACAAGAGUCUUAAGUAUAUCUUCACUCAAGCAGACCUCAACAUGCAUCAGAGAAGAUGGUUAGAAUGAAUCAAAGAUUAUGACCUAGAAGUGCAUUAUCACCCAGGCAAGGCCAACGUGGUUGCGGAUGCUCUCAGCCGCAAGAUCCAUUGUAACUGCUUAUCGGCGAUUAAUUAUGCUGAGACCCUAUGUCAUGAAAUGGCUAAGCUCAACUUGGAAAUUGUUCCCCACGGUACCUUAAGUCAUAUUUCUCUGGAGCCUACCCUGCUUGACCAAAUAAUUCUAGCACAACUAGAGGAUGAAGAGAUAAACCUUAUCAAAGAGAAACUCGCAUAGGAGGAUGAGGGAUAUAAGCAUUUCCAACAGGAUUGGAAAGGAGUGGUACAUUAUGAAGCUCGACUUGUAGUUCCAAAUGAUCCCGAUCUUAAGAAAUAAAUUCUGGACGAAGCACACCUUUCCAAGUUCUCGAUCCACCCUGGUAGUACCAAGAUGUACCACGACCUCCGACAAAAUUUCUAGUGGAGUGGGAUGAAACCUGACAUUGCACGAUAUGUUUCAGAGUGUGAUACCUGUCAGCGAGUCAAAGCAAGCCACUUGAGGGUAGCUGGCCCCUUGCAGCCGCUGCCUAUUCCCUCAUGGAAGUGGGAGGACAUAAGCAUGGACUUUAUAGUCGGACUACCCAAUACCUCUCGCAAGCAUGAUUCCAUAUGGGUUAUAGUAGACCGACUUACCAAAACAACGCAUUUCCUUCCAGUACACACCACGCACGCCAUACAGAAAUAUGCAGAACUAUACCUUGACCGGAUUGUUUCCUUGCGUGGUGUACCUAAGAUGAUCAUCUCUGAUCGAGGUAGUUAGUUCGUAGCAUGCUUUUGGGAGCAGUUGCAGUUAUCACUUGGCACUAAAUUGAUUCGUAGUUCCACAUAUCAUCCUCAAACCGAUGGACAAACUGAAAGGGUUAACCAGAUUUUGGAAGAUAUGCUACGCACCUAUGCUAUUCAUUAUGACAAGAACUGGGAUAAGUGUUUGCCAUAGGCGGAGUUCUCAUACAACAAUAGUUAUCAAGCUAGCUUGAAAAUGGCGCCUUUUGAAGCCUUGUAUGGACGUAGAUGCCGAACCCCGCUAAGUUGGUCGCAACCUGGUGAGCGAACAGUGUAUGGACCUGACCUGGUCAUGGAGGCCGAAGAAAAAGUAAGAGUUAUCCGCGAAAAUCUCAAGGCCGCCCAGUCUCGACAAAAGAGCUAUUCCAAUCAAAGAAGAAGACCUAUCCAAUUUGAGGUUGGGGAUUUUGUAUACCUACGGGUCUCACCGACCAAAGGCGUACAACGUUUUGGAGUAAAAGGAAAGUUGGCUCCGCGCUAUAUUGGUCCCUAUGAGAUUGUAGAAGUUUGUGGACUCGAAGCGUAUCGAGUUAAACUUCCAGAGAAGAUUGCAGCGAUACACGAUGUUUUCCAUGUCUCACAACUCAAAAAGUGCAUUCAGGUUCCAACUGAAAUCAUCUCCUCGAAAGAAUUGGAGAUCGAACCCGAUUUAACAUACAAGGAGUAUCCUGUUAAGAUCCUUGACCGGAAGGAAAGACAUACUCGUAGGCAAAUGGUAAAAAUGUACAAAAUUUAGUAGAGUAACCAUAUGGAAGACGAAGCGACAUGGGAGACGGAAGAGUAUCUCAACACUAACUUCCGCGGUUUUCUUUUCGACCAGGGAGGUACGUUGCACCGGCCACACUAAUUCCUUUCUGCACUUGAAUCUCAGGGCGAGAUUUCUUUAAGGGGGGUAGGCUGUAACAAAUCUACCUAAAUUAAGUGAUUUGAAAAGUAAACCAGUGGUUAAUCCCUAAUUAAAGAGGUGAAAUGACCAUUUUAACCCUAAGAAGCUCUUUUUGGAGUUUGAAAUAAAACAUGGAAUUUUAUAUGCAAACUUAAAAUUCUGCCCAAAUAAGAGUUGUAAACUUUUAAUUUCAAACAACUUUUGUUAAAGGCACUUUGACUAAUUCGGAGUGCAAGGAAGUCAAAAACAGCAAUCAAAACUGGAUUACUAAGGAACCCUAUAAACCUCCCAAGUCGUGGAAUUCAAGUUUUCCUCCAACUUUGCAAGCCUUUAUCUCACGAUUUCCUAUCUAAAAUCAAGUCAGGCCCUAAAUAAAAGUUGUAGUCCCCCGAGUUUGUUCCAACUUUGUUACACUAACCCAGGUCCAAAUCGGGCCAGAACCUGUUCAAAACCUUGGUCAAAGUGAGGCAAAAUAGUCAACUCACCCCUCAUGCCCCAAAAUGCUAAGUCUGAAAAACUGCGCAGAGUGCACCUCUUGGCGAGGGCGUUCCUCCAAAUUUCUGAACUAAACUCAAGAAAUACCCUAAAUAAAAGUUGAAUUACUCAGUCUGGAGAGCAACUCAUUCAAUAACACUUUGAUAUAAUUCAACAUGGAAGCUGCCCAAAAAUCGACUCAAACAUAGCUAAGUUCCUGAAAUUCCACCUCUCCGGCCAAAUUUGGCUAAGUCUGGAUUUCCAGAUUUUUAGCAAACUUUGGCAUGAGAUAUCUCCAAAUCCUUUCACAAUCUAAACCGGCACCUUAAACCAAGUUUGAAUGCAUCCAGAGUUGAAUAAGUUUGUUUAAAAGAGUUUUGGAAGUUGUGUUGCAAAAUCUGGAGUAGGAUCUCCCAAAAGCUGGUCGGGCUUGCUUCACGAAGGGGGACUCGACGCGCGCGUGCCAGAGCACGUUCGCCCGCGCGCUGCGCGCCGCGUGGCUGCCGGCCACCGGCAGCUCGCCAGUGCCCUAUCACUGGCGAGACAGCGACAGGGCGAGGGCCACGGCGCCCAACCCGCGCCUGCGACAGGACGGGGCGAACGCCGGGCUGGCCAACCGCCGGCCGCACGCGUGUCCUUCUCCCCCUGCCGCGGCUCUGCUCCGCCAACCGCGCUCCGCCCGUCCGCUGGAGAAGCCACCACGCCAACGAUGUCCCGCGCCUCCGCCCGCUCGCCCAACCCCCACGGUAGCCCUCCGUUUCGCCCGCCCGAUAGACCGGAAGCCCCAGAUGCGCAUCGCCUAAGGCCAAUCACCACCGGAGACCACCCGGAGCUCCGCCUCCUCUACCCAAUGGCGCCGCUGGCCAGUGGCCACCUCGCUCGCACACCCGCCGCAUCCGGCCUUAUCCACCUCGACCCUCCGCUCCAUCGCUGCCCUAUAAAAAGGUCCCCCUCACCGGCAGCGCCACCCCUUUGCCACCGCCCACAAUCGCACCACCGCUUCCUCCUCUGCGCCGCCGCUAAGCUUCCGUGGAGCUCACCCCUCUGCGCCACCCCGCACUCCGGCGACUUUACCGCCCACUUCGCCACCCCUCCGCGCACGUCUCUGAGCAGCUCGUGGCCUCCCGACACCGCCGGUGCGCCGGAACGCCGCCUGCACCGCCGCCAGCCAAGCUCUGUCGCCGCUGCCACGUUCCGAUCCCCGCCGGUCAUCUCCGUCGCCCCAACCCCGCCAAACCGAGCUCAGGUGAGCCCCCGCACCCCUCCGGCCACUUGUUGCCCCAUCCUCGCCGGCGAACCGCCGGGAAUUUCCCUGCCGCCGCCGCGCGCGCCCCGGGGACUACAUUGCAUCGUCCCUGUUCUUUCCAGGGGCCUGGGCGCAAAACACAGGGACCCCUGCGUAGUUAAACCUUAAACCCAGGGGCUUGCUUGCAAGUUGCCACGGCUUUUCUUUUAUAUAAUAGGUAGAAAUAUGGUUGAACUUUGGAAAUGCCUAGUAAAUCGUAGAAAAAUCAUAAAAAUACCAAACAACUUUUGUUGGAAUCCUUGCUCUGUCUAGUUCCUAAGAAAAAUAAGUUUGCUCAUGUUACUGUGGUAAAUAAUAUCCUAUGCUUUUAAUCAUGGUUUAGGCCUUUUAAAUCCUAAUAAAUAGAAGAACAGUGGGAAAAAUAUGAAACCAACUCUGUGAUGCUUGUUUCUCUGUGUAAAAGUUUAGAAAAAUGGUUAGGGCUCUUGUCUAGCACUUUAAAUCACUGUUUUGACUUUAAAUUGGGAAUCUAAGUAUAAAUCUUCCUUUUUGCAUAAGUUUUGAUCCAGAGCUCAAAAAAAUGUGGAACUAGUUGGGUUAAUUUUGUUUUGCUGUGAAGUUUGCAGGAAAAAUAUAAAUUGUUGUGCAAAUCAGAAAGAAAAACACCUUCCUUGCUAAGUAUGUUUUAUUAAAAAGGGAAAUAGAGUAAAUAGUCAACCUUCUCCAAAAAUUAUUAAAAAUUCACCAAAGCUCCUGUAACCUACCCUUAAUACACUGGUUAUGUUUCACCCCCUGUUGCACAGUAACUUUGAAGAUAGAAAAAGUUAAGUUCAUUUUACCUUUAAUAGUAAAAUGCAUGUAACUUGUUUUUAAGUCAUCAUUUGGCCCCCAAGCUUUUACAGUAACCUAGUGAUGGCUUAAGUGAGGUGCUGUAAUUUUAUCAAUGCCUUUAACCACUAUAUGGAUAUGAAGUCAUUUCGGUUAAUUAAUCAACCUAAAGGAAUAAAAGGAAAGCACAAAUUCUAAUUCGAUAAAUAAGUGGAAAUUGAAAGAGGUACAUAAAAACAUUCAGAAGUAAGUAAUUAUUCUAAUGCACCCAAACCACCCAAACACGACCUCUCACUCUCUUUAUGCAACUCUAAAUGCAAGAAAACUAUAUAUGUACACAAUCGCCAUUCAACGCGAACUCAAGUUUAAAACGACCACUUUCGUUUGAAGUUAAAAGAAAGUAAACCUCACCAAAUUGUUGUGGCUGUUGUGACUCUUUGUCUUAAGCCAUGCCUUGUGUCGUUGAAUAAACGCAUGAGUCCAACUAAACGUUUGCAUGUGCAUGUCGUAUAGAAGCAAAUCUCGCCGACGGAACCUACGAGCUCCACCCGACACCGGAGAAGACCCCGCUGCGGAGAUUCACCACUUGGAAGGCGAGCCCGAACCGGAGCAAGAUCCUGAGGACCCGCUAACUUUUCCUGAAGGCAAGCCCCAGUGCAUGAAUUCCCUGUUUUACUUUUAUGCCAAUUACAAUGCGUAUGAUUGUGCAUUUACGUUUGUAGGAGUUGAUUGAAACCGUAGAUGCAUGAACUUAGUACCUUGAUCUGAAUACUAGUUGCUAAGGUCGAGUAGUUGCAAUGCUUAAUAGAUCUCGGUAAAAGUCGAGUGAUUUCCUGUCACUCGCGAGUUAUAGGAAUUGAAUGUUUUAUUUAUGUUGCAACUAUAAGGACGACGGACGGGGUCGGGCAUAUGUUCGAUACUUGGUGGUUUGCCCCAUCUGUCUAAAUGAAAUUGGACUAAGGUUGAAACGUGUCGGCGUUCAUGAUCAAGUGUUUGAAAGUACUAAUCUCAUACCUAGUAUGGGAUGGGGAAGCCUGGUACCUGAUUGAACUUGGACGUGGCUUAUACUCUUGCUUAGUCCUUCGAACGUCGUUCCCAUGGUGCAUCAUGUGGGUGCAAUGGCGGUCACAGUACGACAGAGACCGGGACUGUGGAGCAUUGCAUGCUAAAGGCAGUUUGGCCUUGACACGUGCCUAAGGGAUUGAUGGGGACGGCUGACAAAUGAAGCGACCCUCUGUGGUGCGCGGAUGUCGUGAGAUUAGGUUCGCCAUGCAUGGUUAAUAAAUUCGAAUCGAUUCAUCUGCCUCUCACAGUUUGGGACUACUUGAUCGCUAUUAUGCACUGAGUAACGAUGAAACAUGAUUACGAGAUGAAGUUGAUGCUUGUUAUUUAACUGCUUGGAAAUCAUGUUUGUUUAGUAUAAGUUGCUAAUCUAGACUGGAUAAAGAACGUAGAACAUGAGCUAAAAUAUUCAAAGUAAGGACCGACUUUAGACGCUUUUGGCAAAGAAAUCCCAGAGCCAGAAAGCCUUGCAUGUCUAGGUCUUGGUCAAGCUUUUCACUCGACGGGUCAGUCUUGCUGAGUAUUAGUUGCUCAGCCUUGUUGUGGCUUAAUCUUUUCAGGUGAUGUCAAUAGUUUGGUUGCUGGUACCACUUGGCCUACCCAGCUCCCUCCGGGCUGGACAGUCGAGUGGGAUCCCUACUCGGACGGCGAGGGAAGGGAUUUUUGAUGUCAUGAUCGGCUCCGUCGUGAUGUCAUGUAUCGACGUUUAGCUUCCGCUUGUUUUAUCCGACUUUUCGAACCCUGCAACUUAUUUGAAUUUCAGAAACUUUGAUGUGAUAAUUUGUGAGACUAAGUUAAUGUGAUGGAAUGUUGUAAUCUCUGUGCUACUCACCUUCGUGUGAGCGAUGCUUCUUGAUCCUGUUGAUGUGGUUUAUCGGAUGAAAUCCGAUGGUCGACCAGGUUGGCUUGCUUAAAGUGCAUGAUCGCGUGUCAGGCGACUCCAAUGCAUUUUAGUCACGUUAAUUUGGGCGGUUCCGCCACAACCUUCCUCUUCAAUAGCUUUCUUUCUAGUUCUGAGUGUGUAUUAGAAACGGAGUUUAUGCUACACACAUCAUAACUCACAGCCUAUAUUUACAUGCUUUUUAUGAUAGAACUUUUCAUAGCCAACCUACUUGAAAGGCCUAGCCACAAGAGUGCCUCCCCGAUAAGUGGUUGUCUACUUCCUUGAAGCCCUACUUCCCUUGAGAAUUUCUUUAAACAAGUAUUGGC
rnacentral:lncRNA from 1 species